rnacentral:rRNA from 1 species
CACGUAGGGCGCAAGCGUUGUCCGGAAUUAUUGGGCGUAAAGAGCUCGUAGGCGGUCCGUCACGUCCGCUGUGAAAACCCAGGGCUCAACCCUGGGCUUGCAGUGGAUACGGGCAGACUAGAGGUAGGUAGGGGAGAAUGGAAUUCCCGGUGUAGCGGUGAAAUGCGCAGAUAUCGGGAGGAACACCGGUGGCGAAGGCGGUUCUCUGGGCCUUAUCUGACGCUGAGGAGCGAAAGCGUGGGGAGCGAACAGG